rnacentral:misc_RNA from 1 species
UGAGGACGAUGAGGAGGAAGACCAUCUUAUAAGCAAACGAGAGGCGGACGAGGACGAGGAUGAUGACGAGGAUGAUGAAGAAGAGGAGGAGGAAGAUGAAGACGAACAUAAUAUUGUGAAGAGAGAUACUGGAGACGCUGACGAAGAGGAUGAGGAUGACGAUGACGAAGAGGAAGAGGAUGACGAGGAUGAGGAGUAAUCAGCCAAGUUCAUGAAGAAGGCAGCCACGAGAGGGAGUCAGUGUAUAAAACACCUGUAAUCGUCAUCACUUACAUUCGUACUACAUCUGGAGAUUCAAAAUUGAUACGAAACCCUUGUGGCAUCUUUAGUCCUUAGAUCUUUGACCUUCACGUCUGCAGGUCCGACCUCCUCGCCAGUAUCAUUUCUACAUCUGUAACACCUGUACUAACUGACCAUCAAUAAAACUAAAAGCAAUGA